UUCAGCUCUGAGUUUUGUGGAACAUCUCGAAAUCAUCACAAGGCUAUUCAAUUUUAAUUUCGGUUUUAGCCUUUCACAAAAACACAGGAAAGGAUUCUCCUGAACCUAACCGGUUCGCGCUGUGGGAACUGAGCCACGGAGCUUUCUCUUUCACCUCAAGACAUUUGCAGCCCGCACUGGAAUGCCACUUUUCAAACUGAAGAGGGGAAAAAGAAAGAAAGAAAUCUGUUUCUUGCUUGAGAAAGAGACCUCUUUGGAAAAAAAAAUCUAAGAAGGUAGAAACGCAGAGCUGUGAAAGAUGAACUGUUCAAGGUAACAGAGAAGUUUCGAAAGUCAAAAUCGGGUUAAGAACGCAGUGAUAAAAUGACCACGCGAAGCCAGUGACGGGUGGACAUCCGGGUUCGAGGGCUCCAGUCUGCGCAGCCGGAGCUUGGAGGUGCCAAGGUUGGGAUGCAUUUGUGCUUGGGUCUGAAAUUACCGCGGGGUGGGAGACAGGUAGCAAUAACUUCAGGGAGGGUGACAGGCACUGCACUGUGUUGAGAUGGCCAAGAAAGGUGGACAACCAGGCAGAAGAUGUUUUAUUCCAGGCGCAAAGACAGCACCGAGUCCACCGAACCUCUCUGGGCGAUGUGGGAAUCAGUCAACCUCGCGGUGACAGCGAGUGGACCCUUGGCCUUUGCUGUGGGACCUGAAGGAGCAGUCGCCUCCUCGCCUCCAGCAUUAGUCCUUCCCACCAGAGGGGAACGAAGUCCGGAGGCCUUCGGCCUGGGCCACAGCGUGCAUCCCCGAGGGCACCGGGCUCUGACCUCGGGUUUCUCCGGCCAAAAGUAUCGCCGCCCGUUGGCUCCCCGCGUCCUUGGAGGAGGGCAGGGAAGCCAUGAAUCCAGAGGCUUCCUUAGCUCUGACAAGGAUGGGAUUUGGAGAAAAAGACAAUGCGGGCUAAGAGGGGAGAAUUGUAAGAAGUCACGCGUGAAGUUGAGGGUGGCACUAUUCUAAAGAGCGACAAAGGAUUAGACGCGAGACAGACGCGGCUUCCACAUUUGGGUGCCUCCAGUUACUACAAGAAUAACCCCAAGAAGCUUUGAGACCUCGAAAGUGGAGAGCGAACCGAGAACCCCGCAGCCCGGGCGGCCGGUCAGACAAUCAUCCCUCCAUUGGUCCUGGACGAGCUACGACCUGGGUCGCGGCUUGAUGGCUGUGCUCUGAAUACGGUCGGCCAGCCUCCUGCCCUGGGCGGGAUCUGGGGGAGGCCCCCCAAUCCCUUCCAGGAAGGCUGGAUCUUGGGACGCCACGCCCCGCUGUCCUCAGAUAGCGCCCUUCUCCCUAAGGGCGUCCUUCCUUCUUUUCUUUCUUUCUCCGUCACAUCUACUAACCCCUCCUCCCUGCACUAGAGCCCCCCUCCCCCCCACACACACACCAGGCAAAGGUCAAGGACGUGUGCUCCGGGGGUGCCGUCCCCAGGACCUCUUGCAGUGAAGUCAGAGACAAACUGGAGGGUCCCCAGUCAGGCUCUGCACCCCUUAGUCCUGCAAGGUCAGAGACAGGCACGAAGGACUCCCAGCUGGGCUUCGCACCCCACACUCUACAGCCCUGCAAGACAGAGAUAGCACUGGGGGUCCCAAGCUAGACCUUGUAUCUUGCAACCUGCAGCCCUGCGAGGUAGAGACAGGAACGAGAGUCCCCGGUUGGACCCUGCGUCCUGUCCUGCUGCCCAAGCCCUUGGCCCAAGCAGCAGAAACCCUGUGGCACGGGUCCCCAGCCGCCGGGAUGGGGGUGGGGGGAGAAUCCAAAUUAAACACGGAGAAGGGCUCGCGAAUAUGGCGCUGCUGAAAAUGGAGCCUCGACACCCGGAACGGCCUGAUCUCGGCUGGCCGUCUUGUACUGGUUUUGAACAGACAAGGAAUCGGAAUCUUCUUUCUAGACGGACUUCCAACGAUGAUUUUUAGAGAAUUCUGCAAAGAAUACAGUGAUGUUGAUAACUCAUGCUUGUGUUCCGCUGAAGACAGUCACUCUCAAGCAGUAAGGUGACCAAGUGUUUAAAGAUUAAAUUUUCUUUUAAAUCGCUCCCCCUUUUACAUUCAAGACUCUCUUCCCCCACCCCCCGCCAGGAAGAACUCUGCUGUGCUGCUUUUGAAUACAAAAUAUUCCUAAAUUAUGGUCCUUGGGAUGUUCCCUGAGAUGAGAAGCAACGUGAUUUUGAAGCCUCCCGGUUUGCAGCUGGACAGACACGUGGCUUCCUGAACUGUCUGGCUGAAGAGGUGUUUUCUGACAGGCCGAUCUUCACGGCAGAGACUGUGGUGUGGUGUAGCUGGGCAGAAUCCUUCUUGGUUCUGUUCCAGCCAGAGGACAGAAGCAUGUCAAGUGAAGGGGAGCAAUGACAUCAUUUGCUGACCUAAGCCCCUCUUUCAAUCACAAUGAGGGAAGCUGGUCUAUAUCUAGAGACUGAAAAUAAAAUAAUUUAUCUUUCCAACUA